AAGAAGGUGUUCUUUACUGUGUUUGAUGUAUAAUGAAUUCAAAAUGCCAAAACCAUUUCAUUCUUCAAACAGUUGUUUUUCAAUUAAUUAAGAACACUUUUAAAAAAAAAUAGGGAGGUUAAGUUUAUAACCCAUUAUGUGAUAAGUAGGAGAAAUGAGGAAGAAGAUUUAAAAAAAGAAGAUUCCCAAAACAAUGGUGGGGUGUUGUGAAAUAAUCCUCUCGACUCACCUGAUAUUUCAGGUAUUUCAUCAGUAAUAAACAAGUAAACUUAAAACUACAAGUUGAUGCCUACAGUCACACUAUUUAAAUUUUUUGUAACUCCUCCCCUACAACUCAGCCCCCAUUCGCUGGCUACUUUCAUCAGCACACAAAAGACUGAACCAGUCUGCUGCGGAUCACAAGGCAAAGCAAGUUACAAUCAAAAUCCAAUAAACCGAACAAUGGAUCUCAGCCAGUUUUCCAGUCAGCCUCCAGAAGCCUACAAUUCAUCUAAGAAAUCAGGGAUGCCAGCAGCGCCACCACCAGCAUACCAGCACAAUCCUGCUGGAUAUCCUCCCACCUUUCUGAAUCAGCCGGUCCCCCAGGGCCCGUACACCCAGGGGCCAUAUCCAGGACAGUCUGUGGUCACUGUACAGCCUGUUGUUUUUGUGACCGCCGCUCCACUGGCCAAUCCAGUGCCAGAUUACCUGGCCUAUUCCAUCUUCACCAUGCUGUGCUGCUGCUUUCCUCUGGGCGUUGCUGCACUGAUUUACUCCAUCUCUACUCGAGAUGCCAACAACUCAGGACAGCGAGAAUUAGCAGAGAAGAACUCCAAAACUGCACGCACCCUGAAUCAUGUCGCCCUUGGUAUUGGCCUCGUUGUCAUUGUAGUGAUCAUCAUCAGCCAGAUUGUGAUUCGGACUGCUAGAUAA
rnacentral:lncRNA from 1 species